rnacentral:rRNA from 2 species
GGUCAAGUGAAGAAGCGCAUACGGUGGAUGCCUUGGCAGUCAGAGGCGAUGAAAGACGUGGUAGCCUGCGAAAAGCUUCGGGGAGUCGGCAAACAGACUUUGAUCCGGAGAUGUCUGAAUGGGGGAACCCAGCCAUCAUAAGAUGGUUAUCUUACGCUGAAUACAUAGGCGUAAGAGGCGAACCAGGGGAACUGAAACAUCUAAGUACCCUGAGGAAAAGAAAUCAACCGAGAUUCCCUUAGUAGUGGCGAGCGAACGGGGACUAGCCCUUAAGUGGCUUUGAGAUUAGCGGAACGCUCUGGAAAGUGCGGCCAUAGUGGGUGAUAGCCCUGUACGCGAAAAUCUCUUAGUCAUGAAAUCGAGUAGGACGGAGCACGAGAAACUUUGUCUGAAUAUGGGGGGACCAUCCUCCAAGGCUAAAUACUACUGACUGACCGAUAGUGAACUAGUACCGUGAGGGAAAGGCGAAAAGAACCCCGGAGAGGGGAGUGAAAUAGAUCCUGAAACCGUAUGCGUACAAGCAGUGGGAGCCUACUUUGUUAGGUGACUGCGUACCUUUUGUAUAAUGGGUCAGCGACUUAUUUUCAGUGGCGAGCUUAACCGAAUAGGGGAGGCGUAGCGAAAGCGAGUCUUAAUAGGGCGUCUAGUCGCUGGGAAUAGACCCGAAACCGGGCGAUCUAUCCAUGGGCAGGUUGAAGGUUGGGUAACACUAACUGGAGGACCGAACCGACUACCGUUGAAAAGUUAGCGGAUGACCUGUGGAUCGGAGUGAAAGGCUAAUCAAGCUCGGAGAUAGCUGGUUCUCCUCGAAAGCUAUUUAGGUAGCGCCUCAUGUAUCACUGUAGGGGGUAGAGCACUGUUUCGGCUAGGGGGUCAUCCCGACUUACCAAACCGAUGCAAACUCCGAAUACCUACAAGUGCCGAGCAUGGGAGACACACGGCGGGUGCUAACGUCCGUCGUGAAAAGGGAAACAACCCAGACCGUCAGCUAAGGUCCCAAAGUUAUGGUUAAGUGGGAAACGAUGUGGGAAGGCUUAGACAGCUAGGAGGUUGGCUUAGAAGCAGCCACCCUUUAAAGAAAGCGUAAUAGCUCACUAGUCGAGUCGGCCUGCGCGGAAGAUGUAACGGGGCUCAAACCAUACACCGAAGCUACGGGUAUCACGUAUGUGAUGCGGUAGAGGAGCGUUCUGUAAGCCUGUGAAGGUGAGUUGAGAAGCUUGCUGGAGGUAUCAGAAGUGCGAAUGCUGACAUGAGUAACGACAAUGGGUGUGAAAAACACCCACGCCGAAAGACCAAGGUUUCCUGCGCAACGUUAAUCGACGCAGGGUUAGUCGGUCCCUAAGGCGAGGCUGAAAAGCGUAGUCGAUGGAAAACAGGUUAAUAUUCCUGUACUUCUGGUUAUUGCGAUGGAGGGACGGAGAAGGCUAGGCCAGCUUGGCGUUGGUUGUCCAAGUUUAAGGUGGUAGGCUGAGAUCUUAGGUAAAUCCGGGAUCUUAAGGCCGAGAGCUGAUGACGAGUGUUCUUUUAGAACACGAAGUGGUUGAUGCCAUGCUUCCAAGAAAAGCUUCUAAGCUUCAGGUAACCAGGAACCGUACCCCAAACCGACACAGGUGGUUGGGUAGAGAAUACCAAGGCGCUUGAGAGAACUCGGGUGAAGGAACUAGGCAAAAUGGCACCGUAACUUCGGGAGAAGGUGCGCCGGUGAGGGUGAAGGACUUGCUCCGUAAGCUCAUGCCGGUCGAAGAUACCAGGCCGCUGCGACUGUUUAUUAAAAACACAGCACUCUGCAAACACGAAAGUGGACGUAUAGGGUGUGACGCCUGCCCGGUGCCGGAAGGUUAAUUGAUGGGGUUAGCUAACGCGAAGCUCUUGAUCGAAGCCCCGGUAAACGGCGGCCGUAACUAUAACGGUCCUAAGGUAGCGAAAUUCCUUGUCGGGUAAGUUCCGACCUGCACGAAUGGCGUAACGAUGGCGGCGCUGUCUCCACCCGAGACUCAGUGAAAUUGAAAUCGCUGUGAAGAUGCAGUGUAUCCGCGGCUAGACGGAAAGACCCCGUGAACCUUUACUAUAGCUUUGCACUGGACUUUGAAUUUGCUUGUGUAGGAUAGGUGGGAGGCUUUGAAGCGUGGACGCCAGUCUGCGUGGAGCCAACCUUGAAAUACCACCCUGGCAACUUUGAGGUUCUAACUCAGGUCCGUUAUCCGGAUCGAGGACAGUGUAUGGUGGGUAGUUUGACUGGGGCGGUCUCCUCCUAAAGAGUAACGGAGGAGUACGAAGGUGCGCUCAGACCGGUCGGAAAUCGGUCGUAGAGUAUAAAGGCAAAAGCGCGCUUGACUGCGAGACAGACACGUCGAGCAGGUACGAAAGUAGGUCUUAGUGAUCCGGUGGUUCUGUAUGGAAGGGCCAUCGCUCAACGGAUAAAAGGUACUCCGGGGAUAACAGGCUGAUACCGCCCAAGAGUUCAUAUCGACGGCGGUGUUUGGCACCUCGAUGUCGGCUCAUCACAUCCUGGGGCUGAAGCCGGUCCCAAGGGUAUGGCUGUUCGCCAUUUAAAGUGGUACGCGAGCUGGGUUUAGAACGUCGUGAGACAGUUCGGUCCCUAUCUGCCGUGGACGUUUGAGAUUUGAGAGGGGCUGCUCCUAGUACGAGAGGACCGGAGUGGACGAACCUCUGGUGUUCCGGUUGUCACGCCAGUGGCAUUGCCGGGUAGCUAUGUUCGGAAUAGAUAACCGCUGAAAGCAUCUAAGCGGGAAACUAGCCUCAAGAUGAGAUCUCACUGGAACCUUGAGUUCCCUGAAGGGCCGUCGAAGACUACGACGUUGAUAGGUUGGGUGUGUAAGCGCUGUGAGGCGUUGAGCUAACCAAUACUAAUUGCCCGUGAGGCUUGACCAUAUAACACCCA